AAAUUGCCACAGCCACCCCAACCUUCAGCAACCAACAACCUAAUCAGCUAGCAGACAUCAACAUCAAGGCAGGACCCUCCAACCUCCAGCAGGAAAAAGAUUACCACUUGCUCAAGGCCCAGAUGAUCAUUAGCACGUUUUAGCAAUAAAGUAUUUUUUAAUUAAGGAAUGAAAGUGUGUGAACCGUCUAGUGGAACGGUGUGAAUACUAUUUCAAUAGUGCUGUUCCUGCAGAGCUGUCUUUCUCUAACUGAUCUGAGAAAUGAUGGAGGAAGACAGAGACAUGCACAGGGAGAACAUCAUGUGACAACAAAGGCAAAGACUGGAAGUUAUGCAGCUGCAAGCCAAGGAACACCAAAAAUUGCUGGCAAACUGCCAGAAGCUAGGAGGAUGCAAGGUUAGAAUUCCCCAAGUCUCAGAGGGAGCGUGGACCUGCCCACACCUUGAUUUUGGACAUGUAACUUCCGGAAAUGUUAGACAAUAAAAUGCAG
rnacentral:lncRNA from 10 species